AGAGUUUAGACAUAAUGGCCACGUCUAUAGAUAAGUCAGCUUUGGUUUCUUUCAUCAUUGUGGUCCUGAAUCUUUAGAUGUAAGAUCUUAGUUAGAAACUAGAAUACAAAAACAGUGUUGAGUAACUUUUCUCUGUAACUGUUUUUCAAAAGGUUUUGAGUUGAGAGAACAUUGCAAGCAAAGACUUAAAGAGAGAAAAAUGUUACCUGAAGGCAGAGACCUGAGUUCAUCUCCGGCUACAACAACACGUCUCGCAGGAUAAUGUUGCCGGUAAAAAACCUGGAAGAUCCCAUUCAUACAUCCAAACUGUUUAUUUAGAUUUGGAUUCUCAUCUGACAAGUUAUACAAAAGCUUUGCCGACAUCUUCUUAGCUCUGGUUCGUAUAAGGUUUCGUCUUCUUUAUUUUCUCAUGUACAGUUCUUGAAAAUCUUCAGUUUCAGGAUUCUCCUUUGUUAUGUGUCUCAUUGAAAGUAGAAGAAGAGAGAGGAGGACAACGUAGAACCCAGCAUUUAGACAACGG
rnacentral:lncRNA from 1 species